ACCCUACAGAUUCCUUAAUCAUCAGACCUAAACACUGGUCUGGGUGGUUCUCAAAGGAGGAAAAGUAAAAUGGAGACUGAUUUUUAUUCUUUAUUGACACCCAAACUAGUUUUAAAUAAAG